rnacentral:rRNA from 1 species
CCUACGGGAGGCAGCAGUGGGGAAUUUUGGACAAUGGGCGCAAGCCUGAUCCAGCAAUGCCGCGUGAGUGAAGAAGGCCUUCGGGUUGUAAAGCUCUUUUGUCAGGGAAGAAACGGCUGAGGUUAAUACCUUUGGCUAAUGACGGUACCUGAAGAAUAAGCACCGGCUAACUACGUGCCAGCAGCCGCGGUAAUACGUAGGGUGCAAGCGUUAAUCGGAAUUACUGGGCGUAAAGCGUGCGCAGGCGGUUUUGUAAGUCUGACGUGAAAUCCCCGGGCUCAACCUGGGAAUUGCGUUGGAGACUGCAAGGCUGGAGUCUGGCAGAGGGGGGUAGAAUUCCACGUGUAGCAGUGAAAUGCGUAGAGAUGUGGAGGAACACCGAUGGCGAAGGCAGCCCCCUGGGUCAAGACUGACGCUCAUGCACGAAAGCGUGGGGAGCAAACAGGAUUAGAUACCCUGGUAGUCCACGCCCUAAACGAUGUCUACUAGUUGUCGGGUCUUAAUUGACUUGGUAACGCAGCUAACGCGUGAAGUAGACCGCCUGGGGAGUACGGUCGCAAGAUUAAAACUCAAAGGAAUUGACGG